rnacentral:lncRNA from 1 species
AGUCCGUUGCCCAGGUAGGGGUUCAUUUGGUAGAUUAGUCCUAUAUACAAAAUUUCGGUCGAAAUUUAUGGGGUUCGGUGACCCCUCACGCAUACACACAGGUUCCCCUCUACAUGGAUCCAUGCCAUCACCUACCUUUGGAUGACUGACCAUUGCUACAACCACUAACCACCCCCACCGUCGGCCACUUUUCAUCAUUAGUCACCAUCUUUAAUCACUCUACCACCAAUCUCCAUUGUACAACCACCAAUCAUCUUCACCACUAGUUAUCAUCACCAAUCACCUUUAUCACUUCAAUUAUUCAACCAACAAGACUAAUCACCACCACCAACCACCACUAUUUGCCACACGCACAUCCAUCACCUCUGAGCACCAUCACACAACUACCAUCGACUACCAUUGAGCAAUCAUAAUCUCAGCCUUCUCCACACAAUCACGACGGCCACCAAAGAAACUAUUCUUUCUCUAAUAUUUAUAUUAACUAGGAAAGAAAUUGGACUAUUUAACCCUUAUUUAUGUCAUAAAAUACAAUUCCUCUUCAUGAUGAUGUCCAUCUCAUUGAAGAAGUAUUAGGCAUGUGCCUAAUGAAAGUUUCUUUGGUUUGGUAUCCAACCUUGUUGACUUGGUUUGGUUAGGUAGCCAACUUUGUUGAAUUAGUUUGGUUUGGUAGCCAACCUUGUUGAAUUUUCUUUGGGUUGGUAGCAUUGUUGACUUGAUUUGGUUAGGUAGCCAACUUCGUUGAAUUAGUUUGGUUUGGUAGCCAACCUUGUUGAAUUAGUUUGGUUUGGUAGCCAACCUUAUUAAAUUUCUUUGGUUUGAAAGCCAAAUUUGUUGAAUUGUGAAAAGUGUGUGUAAAUUGUCAAAUAUUGUAGGCUUUAGAGAGUGAUGCUUUGGCUAUAAAAGGAGAGUUUCAACUCUCAUUUCCAUACACCAACAAAGAGAGAAAGAAAGAGUGAGGUUUCACAGACAAGGUAUAAGAAAAUA